UACAGAGGCCUCGAGCGUUAGGCGGAAUCACUGGGCUUAAAGCGUGUGUAGGCGGACUUCUAAGUACCUUGUGAAAUCCCACGGCUUACCCGUGGAACUGCUCGGUAUACUGGUUGUCUUGAGCCACCUAGGGGCGAGUGGAACAAAUGGUGGAGCGGUGAAAUGCGUAGAUAUCGUUUGGAACGCCAACGGUGAAAACAGACAGCUGGGAGUGUGCUGACGCUGAGACACGAAAGCCAGGGGAGCGAACGGG
rnacentral:rRNA from 1 species